AACGAACGCUGGCGGCAGGCUUAACACAUGCAAGUCGAGCGAGGUUUUCGGACCUAGCGGCGGACGGGUGAGUAACGCGUGGGAACGUGCCCUUUGCUACGGAAUAGCCGCUGGAAACGGAGAGUAAUACCGCAUGUGUCCGGUAACGGAGCACGCGUUAUCGGCAAAGGAUCGGCCCGCGUUGGAUUAGGUAGUUGGUGGGGUAAUGGCCUACCAAGCCGACGAUCCAUAGCUGGUUUGAGAGGAUGAUCAGCCACACUGGGACUGAGACACGGCCCAGACUCCUACGGGAGGCAGCAGUGGGGAAUCUUAGACAAUGGGGGCAACCCUGAUCUAGCCAUGCCGCGUGAGUGAUGAAGGCCUUAGGGUUGUAAAGCUCUUUCAGCUGGGAAGAUAAUGACGGUGCCAGCAGAAGAAGCCCCGGCUAACCCCGUGCCAGCCGCCGCAGUAA
rnacentral:rRNA from 1 species